UGAUACUUCAGUGGAGCUUAAUUCAGAUGAGGAGGUGCACUCGUUGCCGAGAUACUUCAUUGAGCUUCGUCUAUGGGCUUCACAUGCUGUUCUGGUUCUACAUUAUGUCAGCCAUUGGAAACUAACUCGGCAACAUCAUGUGCACUGGUUAGAACUCACAGAAAGGGACAAAACAGCUGUAUCCCUAAUUGAUAAGGAUGAAACUCACAAAGCUUGUACUAAGGCCUUUUCCACUUUGCUAAAAGAGCCUACAAGUGCUUUUAAAGGAUUCCUGGAAAGUUCAGAUGCUGCAUACAGAUUUGUCAAUUCAAAACUUACUCCCCAUGUGGAUGAUUUUAGAUUCAUUAAAGUGCUAGGUGUUACUUCAGACUGCAAAGUUUACUGCUGUUCUUAUA